UUAACCUGAAUGCAUAGGGACACAAUAAAAAAUAUGUACAGAUUUCAAAGAAAGAAGUGCGCAAUAUCAAAUAUUCAUCUAAAUUAGACGAUAACGAAGCCCAAACUCAAACUAAAAAAACGUUCAAAAUGUUUUGCAGAUUAAGAACAGGCUAUGGAUAUCCGGGUGGUCUAAUACACAGAUGUUUAAGUUCAGCAGAAGUUUCCACUGCUUUGAGGCCAUUUUAUUUUAGAGUCCAUCCUGAUUUAUUUGGAAAAUAUCCCGAACAAAGAAAAAUAAAUGAAAUUUCUUUGCAACAACUGAGUGCAUUAUUAGAAGCUCAACAAUCUAGUCGAAAUACUUCUGUAUCAACACUUCCAUUUUAUUUAAGAAAAAAAGAUGUCCCAGAAGGUAUAAGCUAAUGUCAAUUUGAAUUAGUAAACAUAAAGUUGGAUAGCAAUAAUGUAAGAGAAACUGUAGUCAAAGUUUUAAACGCCUGUGAUAUUUCUACAAGUUAUAUAGACAAAAUUCCAAGGACACAAGAAAGGAAAACACAGUUUAGUGAGGAUUUUCAUAAAGCAUAUGAAAAGUACAAAGACGAAUUUGAUAAAGCAAUGCAGAUGAAAAGAAAGGUGGAAGAAAAGAAAGCAGUAUCAAAUAUAAUUGAAUGGGUUUUAGACAACAGCAAGAUAGCAAGAGAAAAGUAUGAUUCAACUCAAGCAACCAGAAACCAAGUGCAAUCUCUUAUAGAACAACUAUGCAAGACAUAUGGUAUAAAAGAAGUUAAAUAUGACAGUGGUUGGAAUAUAAGUCAUAUAAGGGGAGCACUGCAAAGUCUUACAUCUAUGGCAUCUCAACAUCCACAACAUAUGAUAAAUUUAAAAGGUAAAUUUCACAUAUUUUCUUUCAU
rnacentral:misc_RNA from 1 species